rnacentral:lncRNA from 1 species
ACCCCGCUGUCCCCUCCCCGCAGUGUCCCCAAGCUUGGGGACAUUCCCUCACCCGCUGGCGCUGUUCCUGCCGCGUCUCCUCCAGCUCCCGGCUGAGUUUUCCCAGUUCCUGGAACGCUUCCAGGAGUUGGGAAUCGGGCGCGACGCUCCUCAGCAGGAUGGAGCUCUGGCGCUUCGCCUCCUUCUGCUGGACCAGCAUCUGGAAGCACGGGUGUCACCUCAGUGUCACCUCAGUGUCACCUCCUUGUGUGCCACCCACCUUGGUGUCACCCUCUGGAGAGGCUGGCAGUGAAUCCCAGCCGGCUCCAUGCAGGAAAACCACAGUGGGAGAAUCGUGGGAUCAUCCCUUUCCCUUGGGAUCACCCCAUUCCAUCGGGAUGGGUGCCAGGGAUGUGCUGGGACACCCCCCUGUCACCCUGUGCCACUCUCAGCGGUGUCCCCAACCCCUCAGUGUCACCUUCUGGAGGGGCUGGUGGCUCCAUCCCGGGAAACUGUAGUGGGAAAAUCCCAGGAUUUUCCCAUUCCCUUGGGAUCACCCCAUUCCCUUGGGAUCACCCCAUUCCCUCAGGAUGGGUGCCAGGGAUAUGCUGGGACAUCCCAUUGUCACCCUGUGCCACUCUCAGCGGUGUCCCCAACCCCUCAGUGUCACCUCAGUGUCACCUUCUGGAGGGGCUGGUGGCUCCAUCCCGAUAAACCACAGCAGGAGAAUCCUGGGAUUGUCCCAUUCCCUUGGGAUCACCCCAUUCCCUCAGGAUGGGUGCCAGGGAUGUGCUGGGACAUCCCCUUGUCACCUCUCUGCCACCCUCAGUGGUGUCCCCAACACCUCAGUGUCACCUUCUGGAGGGGCUGGUGGCUCCAUCCCGAUAAACCACAGCAGGAGAAUCCUGGGAUUGUCCCAUUCCCUUGGGAUCACCCAAUUCCCUCAGGAUGGGUGCCAGGGAUGUGCUGGGACACCCCCUUGUCACCUCUCUGCCACUCUAAGCAGUGUCCCCAACCCCUCAGUGUCACCUUCUGGACGGGCUGGUGGCUCCAUCCCAGGAAACUGAAGUGGGAGAAUCCUGGGAUUGUCCAUUCCCAUUCUCAAAGUCCCAUUCCCUUGGGAUCACCCAAUUCCAUCGGGAUGGGUGCCAGGGAUGUUCUGGGACACCCCCUUGUCACCUCUCUGCCACUCUCAGUGGUGUCCCCAACCCCUCAGUGUCACCUCAGUGUCACCUUCUGGAGGGGCUGGUGGCUCCAUCCCAAUAAACCACAGCAGGAGAAUCCUGGGAUUGUCCCAUUCCCUCGGGAUCACCCCAUUCCCUCAGGAUGGGUGACCCCAGUGCCACCUCCGUNNNNNNNNNNNNNNNNNNNNN